UGAUUUUUUAGCCUAGCAGGUUGGAUUUAGUCCAAAACUCAAGUCUGUCUUUUAAAUCAGUCGGACUUGGAUUUACAUCAACUCAGCCCAAACUUGACUAUAUAUAUUUUUAAUCAAUAAAUAUAUUAUAUAUUAUACUGUAUUUACUAUCUUAAGUAUCCUUAAUAAUUUUCAUUAUUACCUUCCUACCCCACCCGUUAGAUCCCUAAUCCAACC
rnacentral:lncRNA from 1 species